rnacentral:rRNA from 1 species
GACGUAGGGCGCGAGCGUUGUCCGGAUUUAUUGGGCGUAAAGCGCGUGUAGGCGGCCCGGUAAGUCCGCUGUGAAAGUCGGGGGCUCAACCCUCGAAUGCCGGUGGAUACUGUCGGGCUAGAGUACGGAAGAGGCGAGUGGAAUUCCUGGUGUAGCGGUGAAAUGCGCAGAUAUCAGGAGGAACACCAAUUGCGAAGGCAGCUCGCUGGGACGCCACUGACGCUGGAGACGCGAAAGCGUGGGGAGCAAACAGG